rnacentral:lncRNA from 1 species
UAAUAAGUAACUAAAUGCCACUCCGCAUAUAAAAUUAUCACUUCUGAAAUGUACGAAAUAAUUCUCAAAAUCUGGAAACCCGCAAGUCAUAAGCUACUAAGAAAUCUUAAUUUUUCUAUACAUCAUUUCUACGGAAGGAAGGAAAAUAAACAUAGGGGGAUAGAGGGGGACCCCGAGGAUCUGCGAGCGCUGACAGAUAUACCUUGAAGUCUCCAAUAAGCAGCAAUGACUGCAAUUAGUGAUGAGGCUGGUAAGAUGAACCUGGAUCUGCACACGAAAAACAUGUGUAAGAAAGGGCGUGAGUAUCAUACCUCCUUUGUCCUACACCCCGGAGGGAGUAUAAGGGAGUUUUUUCCAAUUUAAGUGACAAUCGAAACAUGAUUAUUUAUAUUAAAAUUCAGAGUCGCCACUUGGGAUAAUUUAUGGUGUCCCAAGUCACCGGUUUAAAUCUCGAAUCGAGGAAAGAUUGACUCUGUUUUACAAUCCGCGAACACAGAAAUCCGGGUAAGGAAUUAUGUUAACCCGGAAGAAGGUGUUAGGCAUUCCCGGGUUCCGUGAUUUUAGCACGGUCGCUCAACUAUUAUUAUUGACCUAUUUAUUUGAUUUUAAAACAUCUUUGAAACCUAUGUGCAUUUUAUUCUUUUUAAAUCGCUUUUAAUAAAUCAGUGUUACAUAUUGCGAAUCAUGUCACGGGAACCGUACCCACGAUCUACAACAUGUUUAUUUUAUUAAUAAGAUUAAAUGUGGCCGAGUCACAUAAAUGUACCCCCGAAUUUAGAAAUUAGGCAUCACAACUACGUCACGGGGACCGUACCCGUAGCUAUGAUAAUUUAUUUAAUUAAAUGUACCUAAAGCAAACUACGAGAGUUCAAGGCAUUUUCUAUACUAGUUAAGAUAUUGAUAUGAGGGCCAUAGGCUAUGAUCGGAUGGCACACCUCAACUUAUUAAAGGAAAGCAUUCAAAGAAAGGAACUACGAAUAUUCAUGUCUAAAACUAAUUUGAAACUAAGUAUCACAACUACACUACGGGAACCGUACCCGUAGUUGUGAUGUUUUAAUUACGUGCCUAAAGCAAACUACGAAGUUCGUAAUUAAUAGAUCAUUCAUCAUUGAAGGCCUUGGUCAUAUUCUAAUAUUUAACAAAGGCCUUACGUUAUUGCUUGAAAUUAAACAAAGCCUUCAAAGCUUAUUCUAGUAGCCCAACAUUUAAUCCAAAGUCCACUCUUAAAUUACUACCACAGUAACCCAAACUCUACUCUUCUUUAUUUGUUAAUCCACUCUAUUAGUCUAACUAAUCACUUCACAAUACAAAAAGAUAGCACAUUAAAUUAUUUAGUAGACUAAUUACAAUUAAACCAAAUAAACCAAAAUAUUCAAGGCAUCUAUGAGAGAUUGGGCAGAGAAGAAGAUUAAGACUUAAGUAGAAGAACGCAAUUAAAGUAAAAAAAAUGAAGAAGAACAAAAGUAUCAAACAGACUCACGGAAACUUGAGCGAACACCAUAUAAACCGGAAUGGAAUGGGAAGAUCAACAUUUAUAUUGACAAAUUUGGUUUGAAUAUUAUAGUUGCACUCCCAAGAUGAACGAAGCGUAGGAGUCUGACUAACGACCAGAGCUCGGAACCUCGUCGGCGACCUCUGAGUUUACCCGGAAUCUCAACAGUUUCAAGAACUUAUUUGUAAUCACCAACAAAUAUGCUAGAACUCAACAAAAAGACCUUAAGCAGGACCUCUUGAAAACUCUCGCAAAACGGGAACAAGGCUGGGACUCGGGUUGAGGAGGGCACAUUUUUUUAAACUACGUUUGUUGGGUUUUGGAGCUUUAAACCUUAGCAACAUGACCGAUAAACAUGAUGCUAUACUAAAGACAUUGAAGCAUCUUGUUCGUUCAUCAUCAAGGGUUCGACUCCUACGGGACAGUGAUAGUAGAGGGGGAAGAAGGCAGGGACGGGGAAGCAACAACCGACGCCGGCGAUGGGGUGAGAUAGAAAAAGAGAGAGAUGGCUGAAAAGGGUGUUCUGGUCUUCUAGACCUAGGUUUUAUCUUAGAGCUUCAUGAAGAAGAAGCUCAUGGGGGUCUGGUCGUUUGGUGUUCAGCGACUGCAACUCAUUUUGAUUAGGGUCUUCUAGGGUUUUAGCAAGGAAGACGAUGGGUGUCAGGGGGGCUGUCCAUGCUCAGCGGCGGAUUUCCGUUCCUGUCGCUUAGGUCUCUCUGUUCAAAAAUGCUGAAGAAGAUCUACGCUGGGGGUCUUUUCUUUUUGGAGUUAUAUGGC